CUGAGACCUCGGCCUUUAGAGAAAAUAGAGAACGGCCGCAUCUUUGGAGUCUUUCUUCCCCAAUUUUUAUGAAGAAAACAUACCUCUUUCAUAAAAACAAACAGCCACUACCUCCAUUAGAGUAAUUUUAGCCACGAUUUCAUCAGAGAAAACAUAACUCAGGAGUUCAAAAAAAAAGCUCUGAAAAAAUAGUAGAAACAGUAGAGUUUAGGUUUAUUUUUAUAUUUUAAAGGAUUUGACAGUCUGAAGGACACGUUUCAAAAUGAAGUCCUCCUGUAUUCCUGAUUUUAAAGCUUCAAUUCGUUAAAAAUCGCUGCUGUUAUUGCUGAUUAUUGCUUGUGCCAAGCUCCGUCCUCAUUCUCUCAGCCUUUUCAUGGAACUGUAAGCAAUAUGUGGUUUCUAGGUAUGUCAGAUUGUAUUUAGUUGUUUACCAAAUUCAUAAAUAUAAAUCUGAUUAGCUCUUGUUGUAUUAAUGUCCAAUUCGUGCAUUCAAUGUGUCUGACCGCUGAAUUUUCUUACAUCUGCUAUGUCUGCCGACAUCGAGCUUCGGCUAUUGCUUUUUUUUUUUUUAAGCUGAAAAGUUGAGUUUUCUUGAAUUGAAGAGUUUCAUAUUAUAUAUUGUAUAUGAUCGUGUAAAUAGCCUACAUAUUUCCUCUCUGUAUGUUUAGUGAAGUGAUAGUAGGUUGAAUGGUGCC
rnacentral:lncRNA from 1 species